GAUGAACGCUGGCGGCGUGCUUAACACAUGCAAGUCGAACGGAAAGGCUCCUGCUUGCCGGGGUACUAGAGUGGCGCACGGGUGAGAAACACGUGGGUGAUCUGCCCUGCACUUCGGGACAAGCCUGAGCAACUGGGACUACUACCGGCUAGGUCGAUGGUUAGGAUGCCAUUGUUGAAAGUUAUGCGGUGUGGGUUGGGCUCGCGGCCUAUCGGCUUGUUGGUGGGGUAAUGGCUUACCAAGCCGUCGUCGGGUAGUCGGCCUGGGAGGGUGUACGGCGACAUGGGGACUACGAGACGGACCAGACGGCAACGGGGGGCAGCGGGGGGAAAUAUGGCACAGUGGGGGCGAGUCUGAGGAGGCGGCGCUGCGUGGGGGAUGACGGCCUUCUGGUGGUAAACGCCUUUCGCUAGAGACGAAGCUCAAGUGACGUUACCUGGAGAAGAAGCACCGGCUAACUACGUG
rnacentral:rRNA from 1 species